CCUGCCAGAUGAACGCUGGCGGCAGGCUUAACACAUGCAAGUCGAGCGGGGGAAGGUAGCUUGCUACUGGACCUAGCGGCGGACGGGUGAGUAAUGCUUAGGAAUCUGCCUAUUAGUGGGGGACAACAUCUCGAAAGGGAUGCUAAUACCGCAUACGUCCUACGGGAGAAAGCAGGGGAUCUUCGGACCUUGCGCUAAUAGAUGAGCCUAAGUCGGAUUAGCUAGUUGGUGGGGUAAAGGCCUACCAAGGCGACGAUCUGUAGCGGGUCUGAGAGGAUGAUCCGCCACACUGGGACUGAGACACGGCCCAGACUCCUACGGGAGGCAGCAGUGGGGAAUAUUGGACAAUGGGGGGAACCCUGAUCCAGCCAUGCCGCGUGUGUGAAGAAGGCCUUAUGGUUGUAAAGCACUUUAAGCGAGGAGGAGGCUACUUUAGUUAAUACCUAGAGAUAGUGGACGUUACUCGCAGAAUAAGCACCGGCUAACUCUGUGCCAGCAGCCGCGGUAAUACAGAGGGUGCGAGCGUUAAUCGGAUUUACUGGGCGUAAAGCGUGCGUAGGCGGCUUAUUAAGUCGGAUGUGAAAUCCCCGAGCUUAACUUGGGAAUUGCAUUCGAUACUGGUGAGCUAGAGUAUGGGAGAGGAUGGUAGAAUUCCAGGUGUAGCGGUGAAAUGCGUAGAGAUCUGGAGGAAUACCGAUGGCGAAGGCAGCCAUCUGGCCUAAUACUGACGCUGAGGUACGAAAGCAUGGGGAGCAAACAGGAUUAGAUACCCUGGUAGUCCAUGCCGUAAACGAUGUCUACUAGCCGUUGGGGCCUUUGAGGCUUUAGUGGCGCAGCUAACGCGAUAAGUAGACCGCCUGG
rnacentral:rRNA from 1 species